rnacentral:rRNA from 1 species
GAUGAACGCUGGCGGCGUGCCUAAUACAUGCAAGUCGAGCGAACGGACGAGGAGCUUGCUUUUCUGAUGUUAGCGGCGGACGGGUGAGUAACACGUGGAUAACCUACCUAUAAGACUGGGAUAACUUCGGGAAACCGGAGCUAAUACCGGAUAAUAUUUUGAACCGCAUGGUUCAAAAGUGAAAGACGGUCUUGCUGUCACUUAUAGAUGGAUCCGCGCUGCAUUAGCUAGUCGGUAAGGUAACGGCUUACCAAGGCAACGAUGCAUAGCCGACCUGAGAGGGUGAUCGGCCACACUGGAACUGAGACACGGUCCAGACUCCUACGGGAGGCAGCAGUAGGGAAUCUUCCGCAAUGGGCGAAAGCCUGACGGAGCAACGCCGCGUGAGUGAUGAAGGUCUUCGGAUCGUAAAACUCUGUUAUUAGGGAAGAACAUAUGUGUAAGUAACUGUGCACAUCUUGACGGUACCUAAUCAGAAAGCCACGGCUAACUACGUG